UUACCAGCUGAUAUCACCAAUCGUAAAAUUUGAAAACAUAAUUAGGCAGACAGACAAACAUUCUAUUCGAAAAGUUUUUAUUAUUCUGAAAAUGAAAACAGAUUUAUACAAACAUUAUUUAGCUAUGAAAAAUUAAACGUAUACAAUGAAAAAGUGGAAAAUAUUGAGAAAUAUGUAAAAUUAAAAAUGAAAAAUGAAAAUGAUGCAGAAUAAAAUAAUUUUAAUAUAUAAGAAAAUACAAAAUUGUGACAUUAUGUUGAAGAAUAAAAUAAAACUUGGAUAGUAGAAUAAAAUUGGAAAACUGGAAUAAAAUCUUCUUUUAAUAAUUGUAUCACAAAUAUUUUGUUAUUCGAAAAUAUUUUUAUUAUACGAAUUUUUAAAUUUGCACAAGAUUUUCCCGUAAACAGGAUAUCCUGAAUAAAUCUUGAGGACAUACUUACAAGCAUUCCUACGUGAA